rnacentral:rRNA from 1 species
AUACGUAGGGGGCGAGCGUUGUCCGGAAUGAUUGGGCGUAAAGGGCGCGUAGGCGGCGCGGUAAGUCUGGAGUGAAAGUCCUGCUUUCAAGGUGGGAAUUGCUUUGGAUACUGCCGCGCUUGAGUGCAGGAGAGGUUAUCGGAAUUCCCGGUGUAGCGGUGAAAUGCGUAGAGAUCGGGAGGAACACCAGUGGCGAAGGCGGGUAACUGGACUGCAACUGACGCUGAGGCGCGAAAGUGUGGGGAGCAAACAGGAUUAGAUACCCUGGUAGUCCACACUGUAAACGAUGAAUGCUAGGUGUAAGAGGUAUCGACCCCUUUUGUGCCGGAGUCAACACAAUAAGCAUUCCACCUGGGGAGUACGGCCGCAAGGUUGAAACUCAAAGGAAUUGACGGGG